GAUGAACGCUGGCGGCGUGCUUAACACAUGCAAGUCGAACGAAGCACUUUUACAGAUUUCUUCGGAAUGAAGUUUUAGUGACUGAGUGGCGGACGGGUGAGUAACGCGUGGGUAACCUGCCUCACACAGGGGGAUAACAGUUGGAAACGGCUGCUAAUACCGCAUAAGCGCACAGUACCGCAUGGUACAGUGUGAAAAACUCCGGUGGUGUGAGAUGGACCCGCGUCUGAUUAGCUAGUUGGCAGGGCAACGGCCUACCAAGGCGACGAUCAGUAGCCGACCUGAGAGGGUGACCGGCACAUUGGGACUGAGACACGGCCCAAAACUCCUACGGGAGGCAGCAGUGGGGAAUAUUGCACAAUGGGGGAAACCCUGAUGCAGCGACGCCGCGUGAGUGAAGAGUAUUCGGUAUGUAAAGCUCUAUCAGCAGGGAA
rnacentral:rRNA from 1 species